AGGGGCGGUCAGGAGCCGUCCACCGGCCCCAGCUCCCCACGGAGAAACAGCUCUGGGGUGGGGUUGAAAUCCAGGCACACACGGAGGGAGCCCCCCUGUGAUCACCCCACUGCCAAGACCAGGCGUCUGCAACAGAGCGCGGGGCCCAGCCUCUCCACCUCCAUUCAAAGCCUGCCCUGGCCCUGUUCUGUACCUGCACCGGGACGAGGGUGCCAGCCCCUCUUCCAAGUGCACACAGCUUGCCCGCCUCAAGGCCUCACUCACUGCCCUGCCUCCUAGACAAUUCUAAAGCCUUACUCUCUCCCAUAGACGCCUUCCCUUCGCCCCACGCGUCCCCAAGGACUUCACUCUUCGUGGCUCCUUCCUAAAGGAUUUUUCAGGAGGUUUUUCAUUUCAUGGAGCUGCUUUGAGAACCGUGUUCUAUGUAAGAACUGCUUGCAUGCCCGCUGUGUGCCAGACCCUGUGAGCAAACUCAGGACAUAGGCACUCCCACGCCCAUUGUACAGACGAGGCAGGCUGAGCUCAGGGAGCUUCAGUGACUUGUUCAGGGUCACGAAGCCAGAAAUCAGGUAGACAGACCUAGCUCCAGAUUCAGGCAGAAUGUGAGUACAAAGCAACUGAUCAGAAGACUGUGGUUCCAGGCACUCCGCCGCUUACUCCGCGUGGCUGCUCUCAGGUUGAACUUCUUGAUUAGGCCCAUCCGUUUGCAGGUGGACACUGUUUCCGCACCUCACUGAAACCCUCACUCACAGAGCUUGAAGUCACCUGGUUCUGGGCACACUCCGAAAGCUGUUCAAUCUCACAGAACCAAGGCUGCUGCUGCUGCUGUGCCAACUGGGUUCCCUGAGGCUCCUGAUUCCGGGGUGCAUGCGAAGGUUUGUGACCUGGCUGUACCACAUGCUGCUGAGCUCAGGAUCACCAGUGAUCCCAUCGCACAGGGAUCAGAUUCUAGACCUGGCCAAGGACAGGCCCUCUACAUCUCUUGCUCUUCAGCUGCAGCUGGCAAAAAGUCUUUCUCCCUUGCAUCUCAAUAUGUGGACUAAGGACCUUCACAGUUGCUAGGGCUGUAGUAUUAAAAAUGCAACUAGGCAAGGAACCAGGACUCCAUAAAGGGAAUAGUGACCAUUGUUACCAUGUAGAUUUUUAAAAUGAAAAAAAAAAAAAAAAAAUAGCUGGGCAUGGUGGCUCACACCUAUAGUCCAGCACUUUGUGAGCCUGAGGCAGGAGGAUUGCUUAAGGCCAGGAGUUCAAGACCAGCCUUGACAAAACAGUGAGACCUCAUCUCUACAAAAAAUUAAGUAAUUAGCCGAGCAUGGUGGUGCAUGCCUGUAAUCCCAACUAUUCGGUUUAGGGGGCUGAGGUGAGUGGGUAGCUUUAGCUCAGGAGUUUGAGGCUGCAUUGAGCUGUGAGCUAACCAUUGCACUUCAGCCUGGUGACAGGGAGAGAUCCUGUCCGAGAGAGAGAGAGGGAGGAGGAGGAGGAGGAGGAGGAGGGGGGGGAGGGGAAAGGAGAGGAAUAGACAUCUCAAGAGUAGGAAAAAGUAUAAAAAGUUCAUUAAUACAAGAGGUAUUCAACUUCACUUACAUUUGAAGAAAUGUACAUCAAAACACUGUGAUAUAACCCUCACCUAUAGGAUAAAGAUUUUUUAAAUGGCCAGGUCAUGGUUUGGGGAAAUAAGCAAAUUGCAGUUGGUGAACAUGUAAAUGUACAAAAAUUUGAGCUUGGCAGUUUGAUGAUUUCUAUAAACGUUUUAAAUAUGUAUAUGCUUUGAUUCAGUGAAUCCACUUCUAGAAAUUUACCUUGCAGAUAUACUUACACAAAUGCACAAAGAUUAGCGUAUCGGCAAUGUUUGCAAUAAUAGAAAACUGGAAAUGAAUCAAAGGGGUCUCACAAAUGCUGACUUGGAAGAAUAUAUAUAUAUUGCAGAAUAGGACAUUGAUUCUGAUCUUAUUUGUACAAAAAAG
rnacentral:lncRNA from 13 species